rnacentral:rRNA from 1 species
CCUACGGGGGGCAGCAGUGGGGAAUAUUGCACAAUGGGGGAAACCCUGAUGCAGCGACGCCGCGUGAGUGAAGAAGGAUUUCGGUAUGUAAAGCUCUGUCAGCAGGGAAGAAAAUGACGGUACGGGACCAAGAAGGCCCGGCUAACGACGUGCCAGCAGCCGCGGUAAUACGGAGGGGGCAAGCGUUAUCCGGAGUGACUGGGGGGAAAGGGAGCGUAGACGGCAGGGAAAGUCUGGAGUGAAAGGCGGGGGAUCCACCCCCGGCCUGCUCGGGAAACUGCCAGGCUGGAGGGCAGGAGAGGUCAGUGGCAUUCCUCGUGUAGCGGUUAUCUGCGUAGCUCUUAGGUGG